rnacentral:rRNA from 1 species
CAGUCGCCGCGGUAAUACGGAGGGUGCAAGCGUUAAUCGGAAUUACUGGGCGUAAAGCGCACGCAGGCGGUUUGUUAAGUCAGAUGUGAAAUCCCCGAGCUUAACUUGGGAACUGCAUUUGAAACUGGCAAGCUAGAGUCUUGUAGAGGGGGGUAGAAUUCCAGGUGUAGCGGUGAAAUGCGUAGAGAUCUGGAGGAAUACCGGUGGCGAUGGCGGCCCCCUGGACAAAGACUGACGCUCAGGUGCGAAAGCGUGGGGAGCAAACAGGAUUAGAUACCCUGUAGUCCCUGUCUCUUAUACC